rnacentral:misc_RNA from 1 species
AACUUUUGACAAUGGAUCUCUAGGCUCUUGCAUCGAUGAAGAACGCAGCGAAAUGCGAUACGUAGUGUGAAUUGCAGACUCCAGUGAAUCAUCGAAUCUUUGAACGCACAUUGCGCCCACUGGUAUUCCGGUGGGCAUGCCUGUCUGAGCGUCAGUAUAAUCUCAAGCAACCGCUUGGUAUUGGAGGAUGAUCUGCCUAGCAGUUCACUUCUUAAACUGAUUGGCAAGUUUACAUAGCAGCAAGCGUAGUAGAAAUACCAUCAGCUUAGUUACUCUGUAUAGCUUUGUCAAAAUCAAACUAUUUUUAAGGUUUGACCUCAGAUCAGGUAAGGAUACCCCCUGAACUUAAGCAUAUCAAUAAGCGGAGGCU